UACGGAGGGUGCAAGCGUUACUCGGAAUUACUGGGCGUAAAGCGUGCGCAGGCGGUGAUGUAAGACCGAUGUGAAAUCCCCGGGCUUAACCUGGGAACUGCAUUGGUGACUGCAUCGCUCGAGUAUGGCAGAGGGGGGUAGAAUUCCACGUGUAGCAGUGAAUGCGUAGAGAUGUGGAGGAAUACCGAUGGCGAAGGCAGCCCCCUGGGUCAAUACUGACGCUCAUGCACGAAAGCGUGGGGAGCAAACAGG
rnacentral:rRNA from 1 species